rnacentral:lncRNA from 1 species
GUCAUUUCAAUAUAAGGUUAGUGUCAUUUUCGAAAUAGUGUCAUUUGUAAAACAAAAUGGUGUUAGUGUUAUAUUCAACCUAAAGUAUACCUCUAGAUUGCUCGCAAGAGAACGAGGUCAAUCAUAGAGUGAUAAGUUGCCCAAGUCGUAUCCACAAGGAAAGCUUAACAUGGCUAGUGAGUUAUGCGUUACACACAGAAAACAAAUAAAUCCUAAACAUUCUAUUCAAGUAGUUCAAAGUUGUGUAUCUAAAACAACGACAAAUAAACUCAAGAUAAUAAAACAACCGGAAAUUCAAGGAUUAAAGAUUCUAGGGCGACAGAUCAUCUUCUUGGAAAAUCAAUUAACAAGUGAAGAUCAUGCACAAUUUAUAAACUCACAAAAUUCUCCUAACGUAGGUGCUCAAACCAUAAUUUUCACAUUCAAGUAUGAGUCUACGCUAAUUAAAUCACAUGAAUUCAUCAAUUAUUAGACUACACGUUUCCGAUUAAGUCUAAUUCCAAUUCAACCACGGUCAAGCAACGAGUUCUUCUCUCGAUCUCACACGUUGCAAACACAAUCAAGCAGUGAUCAAUUGCUAAAUCGAAUAUCAAACAAUUGAAUCGGAUAAAGUGCAUCAAUACAUCACAAGCAAAUCAAUUAAACUCAAUUGAAUCUUCAACCCUAGAUUGUGGAAAUUAGUUCAUCAUGCUGUAUAAUUAAAGUAGAGAAAAGGUAAACCAUGGAAUUAAAACAAGGAAGAAAGAUAAAGAAAUAACUGUGAAAUUCAAAGUGCAAAUCCGUUCCAAUGCGUAAAGAAAGUGAAAUAAAAUGAAAAACUAAAGUUCUCCUAUUGUUCUUGCUUCAAAAAGGGAAAAGGAUGGAAGUUAAUUCUAAGUGAAAAAGAUCUAUUUGAAUCUCUAAAAACCGCCCUUCUAAUGAGAAUUCCCGUCAGAAAACUGUCAGGGUCAGCCCGGUUGACUAGUGCGCCGCGGCUCACUUCACAUUCUGCCCAUUUUCCUUCAAGCAGUCAACCCGGUUGGCUAGUGCGCCGCGGCUCACUGCCUUCUCUUCUCAAUCUUCUUCUAAUCACCCCCGAUUCAUUGUGAGCCAUGGUUAGCAUAUCUUAAACACUCUCUUUUGCGUCGUUGUGAGCUUUCUUCACAACCUUCAAAUGCUUUAACAUCGACAUUCUUCAUUUAACACCUAAAGCAUCACAAUUAACCAUUAAGCUCAAAUUAACACAAAAUCACC